rnacentral:rRNA from 1 species
AUUGAACGCUGGCGGCAUGAUUUACACAUGCAAGUCGAACGGUAACAGGCCGCAAGGUGCUGACGAGUGGCGAACGGGUGAGUAAUGCAUCGGAACGUGCCCAGUCGUGGGGGAUAACUACUCGAAAGAGUAGCUAAUACCGCAUACGAUCUAUGGAUGAAAGCGGGGGACCGUAAGGCCUCGCUCGAUUGGAGCGGCCGAUGUCAGAUUAGGUAGUUGGUGGGGUAAAGGCUCACCAAGCCAACGAUCUGUAGCUGGUCUGAGAGGACGACCAGCCACACUGGGACUGAGACACGGCCCAGACUCCUACGGGAGGCAGCAGUGGGGAAUUUUGGACAAUGGGCGCAAGCCUGAUCCAGCAAUGCCGCGUGCAGGAAGAAGGCCUUCGGGUUGUAAACUGCUUUUGUACGGAACGAAACGGCUCUGGUUAAUACCCGGGGCUAAUGACGGUACCGUAAGAAUAAGCACCGGCUAACUACGUG